AGAGCGGGGGGUCGUGCGCAGGUGCAGAUAGGCGCCCGUGGGAGCGCGCGCCCAUGGGGACGUUGGGCCCCGAGAGGUGGCAGCAGGCAGUCCUUAGGGACCAUCCCUAGACAUCCCAUCAUCCUGUAGACCCAGUGUGGACAGUGCCGGAGCCCACCCUGACCAUCAGGCAUCGUUCCCUUCUGCCUUGCAGCCCGGUGUUUGCCUGUGACAAAAAUGACAGUUUGGGACCACUGCAUUAGAAGCAUGAAAGGUUGGAGGAGGCGGCUGCAGAGAUGGCUCAGUGGUUAACAGCAAACACUGUUCUUGCAGAGGACGUGAGUUCAGUUCCUGACACCCAUAGCUGCCUGUAACUCUAGCUCCAGGGGAUCAGGUGCCCUCUUCUGGCCUCCUCUGGUACCUUUACUCAGAUGCACAUGAUUUAAAGGAAUUGUUUGAAGUUGAAGAUGAGAAGGCAAAACUGCUGACCAAAGCCAGUUGGAAUUGAGUCUGCACUCCAACAUAACACAUGUGUGAACAUUUAGGGCAGCGCUAGCUACAGUAAAAACGCAGGAGUCUAUUACUUGUGGCUUAUGUGGAGGGAACAUAUCCAACGUGAUAAUAAGCAAGGUGUGCUGACACACAGCUGAGCACUUGGGAAGCUGAGACAGGAGGACCAGUGUAAGGCAGCCUGAACUACACAGACCCCAACUCCAACAGAAGAGAAGACUUGAAGCACUGUCACGUGUUAUAACAUGAACACAUUUUAAAAACAUGGUAGCAAAGAAACGGGACACAGAAAUGAGACUCUGAGUAGACAAACCAGAGACGGGGUACAAGGAGGACAGGGGAGGAACUGUUAAAUGGGUAUAGGUAUCCAUUCCUUCUGGGCAGCUAGAUAGCAAUGGUGGGUAAGUGACAUUGUUAAUUCCAGGAGUCCCCACCAUGUAUAGCAGCUGACCUACAUCCUGUCCUGCCCCUGCUUCCUGAGUGCAAGGAUUAUAGACAAGCACCAUUAUGUUUGGCUCAACUGUACUCAUUCGGGUGUGAAAUACUUCAUUAACAGGGCUAGAGAGAUUGCUCAGCAGUUAAAAGCACUGGCUACUCUUCCAGAGUUCCUGAGG